UCUUCUUCCUCUGCACAUAUAUAUAUAAAUACCAACUCUUUUAUUCUCGAUCGAGAUAUCAAAAUCUCUCCAAAAAUAUUAAACAACAAUCCAGCCCCAAUUACCUCGAGAAACCUCUCAUCACCCCGUGUUCGUAUCACUCUCUCUCGGUUUAUCUCAAUCGAUCCGGUGUUCCUCCUUAAUCUUUGUAUCGGUUAAGAAGAAUUGAAGAUCUUGUAUUGCAUGUGUCUUUUCUCCGAUUUCUAGUCAUUCUCUUCUGCUAAAUCUCAGUCCAGGCAAGAUUCGAACUCUUGCUUGCAUUCCUAGUG
rnacentral:lncRNA from 1 species